GCAUAUCAAUAAGCGGAGGAAAAGAAACCAACAGGGAUUGCCUUAGUAACUGCGAGUGAAGCGGCAAGAGCUCAAAUUUGAAAUCUGGCACCUUCGGUGUCCGAGUUGUAAUUUGUAGAAGCAUCUUUUGAAUUGGUCCUUGCAUAUGUUCCUUGGAACAGGACAUCAUAGAGGGUGAGAAUCCCGUUCAUGGUGGGGAAACCAAUUCUUUGUAAAGUGCUUUCGAAGAGUCGAGUUGUUUGGGAAUGCAGCUCUAAGUGGGUGGUAAAUUCCAUCUAAAGCUAAAUAUUGGCGAGAGACCGAUAGCGAACAAGUACAGUGAUGGAAAGAUGAAAAGUACUCCGAAAGGAGAGUGAAAAAGGACGUGAAAUUGUUGAAAGGGAAGUGCUUGAGAUCAGUCUUAGGUUUUAGUGAUCAAUCUUCCUUUUGGUUGGUGCACUCACUAUUGCUUAGGCCAGCAUCAGUUUUAGUGACAGGAUAAUGACCUUGGAAUGUGGCUCUUUCGGGAGUGUUAUAGACUUGGUUGAUACUGUCUACUGAGACUGAGGACCGCGCUUUUAGCUCGGAUGCUGGCAUAUGCU
rnacentral:rRNA from 1 species